UAAUCUUGAUUCUCUCAAAAUCAGCGGCCUCCUUCUCCUCCCCCUUCUCUCUCUAAACCAAGACUUCUCACUGUUCUGCCGCUGCCGGAGUUAACCACCAUUCGGCCAGCCUUCCCAAGACUACCAGCACUGCUGUCGACUCCCUCUAUCCCUCUGUCGUCCCUCUCCAACCAUAGCCGCCACUGCAAGCAACCAUGCAGUCGACGAGCCAACCAACGAAGCCCCCGCCACCCUCUCCUCUCUUUAUAUGUCGCCGACUACCUUUUGGGUGACAAAACUCGACUAUCACCACCACUGAUGAACCAGUGGGGCACCAAACCAGCCUCCGUUUCAUCACUGGCAGCUAUCAACUGCAACCAGUGCUGCCAGCAGCAGUUCCAACCUGCUCCAAAACCCUCAAACGCCGCCAAAACCCUAAUAAAAAAUGCAACCAGUCGCAGCCUUACUAGCCGGACAGUUGUUAAAUGCAUGAAGGAUUCACACAUGUGAAUCCAUCCAAGGUUGGGUUUCUAAUUUUAAUUGCAUGUUAUAAUCUUCUUCCUUUUCCCUUUCAAUAUUUUCUUUAGAUUUGAAAUUGUCGAAAGCUUGAUGGUGAAUUUUUAGUGGAUUCCUGUGAAUUCAUGUAUGUUUAUGUGAUUAGACCGACAUAUACAAAAACUCUUAAGAUUUCUAUAGGUUUGCUGUUCAAUACCACAUUAGGCUUGAUUUGACAAUCGAUUCUUUCUAACGAUUGAUUCUUCUUGUUUUGCUCUUAAUUAUGGCACGAUUUAUAUAUCUGCUUGGUUUGAUUUUCUUACUAAUUUCUUAUACCUUUUAAUCAUGGAAUGAUUUAUAUAUUUUAAUUGGGUUGAUUUUAUGUCUGAUUUUUGCACCCCUUAAUUAUAGAGUGAUUUGUAUGGUUUAUUGGUUUGAUUUUAAGGCUGAUUUCUACACCCCUUAAUUAUGGUAUGGUUUAUCUAUUUCGAUCACAUGACUGAUUUUUACACCCUCAAUUAUGGUAUAGUUUACAUGCUUAAUUUGAAUAAUGUAUUUUUUUUUUUGAAAACUUUCCACGAAAAUUCGUAGCCACUACAACCUCUGCCAUAGCUUCUGCCCUUCGGGUGACCACUGUGUGCGCACUGGGUAAACCCCCGAUGCAAUAGUCUGCAAACCACAUGGGGAUGCAAACCGCACUAGGUAAGCCCUGUGCGACAGGCUCAAACCCAGAAGGCAUUGACGGGAGAAUCGAUCCCUUGACGGGGGAAUCUAUCCCUGGUCACCCGGGUUACCCAACCGCCCUCCAAACUAACUAGGCUGUCCCGAAGGACUGAAUAAUGUAUUUUUAAUUUCUCCUUUUAUGGUAAAAUUGACAGCUGAUAUGGAAGAAUUUCACUAACAAAAUACUUGUUCUCUUUUUGGUUCCUCCUUAUUGAUUACUUGAAUAUGUGAGCAGAUUUUUUUUCCAUAUUAUGAAACAAUUGUGUUUAUAACUUAACGGAUAGUAUUAUUUCUUUUCUUUUCCUUUUUACUCACACGAUCAACCCCCAGCCUAUAUAAAUAGCCUAUUCUUCAAUUGGCAGGCAAACCUCUCCUCAAUUACGACUACUCUCUCUCUCAAAUUCAAAAGUUACUUGCUCUCUAAUACGAAAAAUAAAGUAUUCCUCUCAAGGCUCUUUGAUUUCUCUGAUUCUGACAAGGCGUUCAACUUGCUUCACUUUUGCAAUUACUCCGCUUACGUCUUCUUUAUUAUUAUUUUUGAUACCUACUGGUGAGUCCUGAAUCGAUGCAAUUUUUAUUUUUAUGUGAUAACCUUGCUGCAUGGUAGAAACCUUUAGAAAACAUGCCUAUAGGAUAUGAUUCGAAAUGAUUCUUUCAUGCUUGUUUGCUACUUUCCUGCCUUGCUACUUCCCUGUUUUGAGUAUGUUGGUAUGUAGUUUUCUUUGCAUGUGCUAUGGUAUUUUAUUAACAAGUGCCCUUUAAAAUGAUAUUUCGGAAGGGGAAGAGUCGCCCGGGAGUUUGGGAAGGGUGUUACAUUUAUUGUUUAGCCUCGUUUGUUUGUCUGUAAUUUAUUGUACAAACAUUAUUCUUGUAGUAAUAAAUUUGGGACUGCUGGUGGGGGGCAGGGGUUUGUGUGCUCUAUGAACCACGUAGGCAAACAUACUUUACAUGCUGCAGGAAUCAGUUAGGCAAACAUGAUUUAGGCGGAUUUAUCAAUUUUGACACUUAGAAAACAUGCUUUUAGGAUCAUUAAUUAACAUCUGGUUCAGGAUUAAACUUAUGUGUUUAAUUGCAGGUAUUGUAGGUGAUUUUAACGAUCGCAUGUCUAUUUUCAUUAAUUAAAAGGGGAAUCAUCAGUUGCUAUCAUAUAAAAAAUGAAUUUUGAUUAAUUAAGCUCUAUUCUGCAGUCUUUUAAACUCAUGUCCAGCAACUAAAUUUAUUCUUUACAAACAACUUUCAACAAAGGAAAAUCAGUUUUCAAUACUUUAAUUUUCAGCAAAUAACAAUAAAAGUUAAUGUUUGGCCUUCAAGGUAAAUUUUCAACAAAACUAGAGAUCGAUUUAGCACUAAAUUAUUAAUUUUUCGCUCGUUAACUGUCGGCACCUAAAACAAAUUUUCUCAUGUCAUAAACUGUUCCCUUUUGGCAUCUUCUCAAAUGAAUUUUUAGUUAACUCUGCUAAGACAUAAAGGAUCUUAAACACAUCUUGACAUGUCAGUUGUUUAAUUUUCUUUAUUAUCAUUCAUAGGCAUAUCUUCACUUAGUACCAUGUCUAUAGGGUGUACAUUUAAAAUCUGUAACUGUUUGUCUUAAUAUGUCAAUCACCUUAACCAACUUAUAAUUAAUCAAGAGGCUAACUUAGUACCAUUAUGUGCUACGUGGAGUCCUAUUUGUUUCGCGCUUUAAGUCCUACUAGGAAACAUAGCUUUGUUUGUCUAAACCAUAAAUCCAAAUUAGCAAAGCACAAUGCCUCUUGGGAGUAAGUGGGACAAUAGGCAUUCUAGAGACAUUAGUUUUAUCCUUUCUUUUAGAACGCUCUUAGGUUUGACAACCAACCUAUAUGGGGGAUGGGUAGGCAUUCAAAAGUGAUGAUAUCUAACAUAUAUUUCGCGAUGCAUGACAUUGUCACUUGUCUAAGAAUCCAGCUGCCGGCUAAUGGAUCGGCUAAUGCCGGAUAAUGAUCAAAGUAUGAAUUUGAUCGAGAACCACCUUUGUGGUCCUCGAAAGAUGCCUAACACCUUUCUUUCGAGGUAAUUUCAACCCUUACCCAAAUUUUUGGUCAAAUAAGACUAAAUAACAAAAUAGGUUCGUAGUUAGCCUAGAUCGGUGUCCUAACGCACAUUAAUACAUUAGGUAGUGACUCUUCACAUUCCUUUAAACAAUCCCAAAAAGAGUAGUCAUGUUGAAUCCCACUUUUCGCAAGAAAAAAUUGGGAACGAUAGCACAAUGAUACAAGACUAAGUGUGUAUCAAUAGAUUCAAGCCAACACAAGAGCAACAAGAUGAACAACAAGGUGCUAGUGAAUCAAAAUAGGCCAUUCACGGCUUCACUAGACUUUAGAUUUAGUUUUGAGCAAGAAAAGAGAUGAACACAAGAACAACAAUGCUAGUGAAUCGAAAGAGCUCCACACAGCUUCACUAGACUUUAAAGACCAACAACAAUACAAUGUUAACAAAAGAGAUGGAUAGAUAGUUUGACAUACAAUAUUCAAGAAUCUAAGAACCCUAACCACAUGUAAGGACCCUAAGAUUAAUGAAUGUUAACACCAAACUCUUACAUUGACAAAAGAGGGACUUUACCUCCCUAAUCACCAACGUAUCAAGCCAACGAUGCAACAUAAGUGAUAUCCACACUUGGGCAUCCCUAGUUACGGAUUGGUGGCUUUUCCAAGCCCUACAACUAAGGGGUGUUACACUCCUCACACUAGAGAGAGAGAGUUUGUCUUCCAUCAAUAAACAACUAAAGAGAAAAGACCUAAUAAGGAACUAUAUAUAGCCUAGCUUAUUGCAUGGCAAAAUGACCAAGACACCCUUAAUGACAAAGGGUGGCCUUGGUGUGUUGGAAGACAAGAUGAAAUGGCCAAAACACCCUUAAUGAGGUGUGGCCUUGGUGUUUAAAUGACUUCUCACAUUGAAUCCUAACACUCCAAAAGUGCCUUCUUCAAGCUAUAAAAAUCGUGAGUCAUCAAGUCCUUAGUGCUCUAAGCAACCUUUCACACUCGGUAUUGUUCCAUCAAGUGCCCAUCACAGUCUCUACAUGCAUGCUCUCGUGUCCUCGAGGCGACUAAUAAUUGAGCCUUUAUGUGUUGGUUUCCAAGGACGUCAUCAAAAAUUAUAAGUACCGUUUGGCUCGUAUCAUCCUUUCCUUCUUGAAAAGGAUUCAACCUCGCAUCCAAACCUUGAAAGCACAAAGAGAAGACAACCAAGCACCACAUCCUCAUGAAAUGUGGGUUAAAAGAGUUAGCACAGUAAACAACAUCAACAUGCCAAGUAGGUACACACUUAAGGUAUAACCACACAUCCUUUAUUGUAAUCACAGGGAACUUAGCAAAAAUAUUACAAAGAAGUGGACGAAAGGAAUCAUCAUCAAAGGGUGGUGCUCUAAUUUUGAAAGUAAAGUCCACACAACACAUAUAGAAAUGUCACUCAAACAACUGGAUCUACCAACAACUAUCUGUCCUUCACACCCUAAGAAGUUACCGGGGUAGAAUGGGAGACGUAACCAAUGGCUUAGGCCUUGGCCACUCUCACUUUCUCCUAGGAUGUCAUCCUCAAAAUUAAGCAAGCCCUCUUUAUCAUCAUUAGAAAUAUUAUGAACAAAAAGAGGGUUUAGAAAGGUGUUCCAUAAGUCAACUUCAAAUAAAUGGUUCUCAUGCAUGCACUUACUACUAGUUUCAAAAUCUCCAUUAGAAAUAUGUCCAACAUAAGAAACACAUAAAGAAGAAGUAGAUGGCAUUUCUAAGCAUAUAUCACCUUCUCUUUCACAAGAGUAGUCCUCACAUACAUACAAAUCAUCACGGGCAGCCAAAGGACCACAAUCAAAAUCGUCUUUACAAGGACAAUCACUACUCGGGUUUUCUAAACAUUCAAGCAAAUCAAGAUCAUCUAUGCCCGGUUGAUCAUUUUGCUCACCCUCACUAGUUAUUGGCAAUUCACAUACCAACGUAGACUCACCUUGUUUUUCACAAAGGUCAACUAGUGUAUGAAUACUCUCGUCACUUGGUAAUUGAACCUUAGUCAAGUUUUAAGUGCUAACACUAAAUGGACACAAAUCAUUCUCACGAGGAGAAUCAGUUUCAUCAUCUAAAGGAUCAACUAGUGCUAGAUACCUACAAUAAGAGUUUGGUCCUUAUGCGACCUAACAAUAUCACGAGUAUCACAAAAUGAAGACUCAUGCACUUCUACAGUAGGUAAAACCACUACUACGUUCAUAGGAGUGUAGGGGAUAACAUUUUUGUCUCGUAGCUCACAUGAGCUAUGGUCUUCAUCUUGACGUGUGUCCAGGCAGCCCACUUUCUCCCUUGGAACUCCCAUAUGAUCCAACCUUUCAUUUAUCACUUCCCAUUGAUCACUUCCCAUUGACGGGUAAUGGAUUCAAGUUUAGCCAAAAUAGCACUUGCAGCCGCGAAUUCCAUUAUAAUUGCACCUAAAAAAAGGAAAAAAAAAAAGAACAAGCCUACAAAGCAAAGCACAAGUUAGUUCGAAACAACCUCAUUACACUCUCACACACUUGAUCAUCUCACACUUGGAUUCACAAGUGUUGCAAGUUGGCUUGUAGUUCGUGAUGAAUCGAGGGGUGAGUCUACUCCUUGGUCAGACGGAUUCUUUAUUUGAAGACUCAAGAAAAUGAUGUUCGAACUUGAACCAAAAAGUAAUACGAUUUAUGAAAAUGACAAAAGUACAAAAGAAACUUAGACACAAAUAAUGGAUGCAAAAGACUAAUAGACAAUCUAGUAGGAGUUUACUAGUUUGUUAAUUAGUUCUAGGAUCAACUAAUGAAACCAAGAAUCAAUAACUAGAAACUAGGAAAAUCCAAAUUUGAGCUUAAUAUUGAUGGUGAACAGUAAUUAGGGUGAUGUGGCAGCAUGCAAUUGGUAUCGGUCCCACACAAUCUUUGUCAUAAAUUUGAAAUUUAAUCUUCACACAAUUUGGAAUGGAAGACAAUUGGUAAUGGAGGAAAAAUACAAAUCUUGACCCUUUUUCAAAUUCAAUCUCAAAAUGGUGAGACUUGACUUGUACUAGUUCCACAAAACAAGGCCCUUGAUUUAAGGAAAAGUGGGUGGUAAGUAGAUGUCAAGUCUAGGAGGUGAUGGGCUCAAGUCUUCUCACAAACAAACUUUACAUCUUUGUCUUACACCUUUUUGGAUCUAGUUUACACUUUUUUAGUGAUCAAGAUAUGGGAUGAGGUGAAGAACAAAAUGAACAACAAUAAUUUUUUUCAAGAACACAUCAACAACAUCCUCCAAUCUUCAACAACAUGGCACAACCACGGCCAACCUUGAACCACAACACACGGCCACUUCAAGUUCACAACAAGGUCAAUAUUAUAAGUUCAACUUUAGAUCUAGACACUUUUGUAUUAGACACUUUUGUAUUAGUGAGAAAGAAACCAACACAACAAACACACUAGAAAUUUUUUUUUUUACUAGAUCUAGUCAUAAACUCUUGGCCAAAACAACAACAACAAUGAGCAACAAGUUCUCGGCCAAGAACACUAAACACAAGAACACUUCAUUUUCACUUCUUUCCCCUUUUUUUUUUUUGAUUUUCCAACUUUCAAGCCCAAGAUUGAUCUUGUUAGAACAAAAUCAAAGAUGGCUUUGAUACCAAAUGAUACUAAGUGUGUAUCAAGAGAUUCAAGCCAACACAAGAGCAACAAGAUGAACAACAAGGUACUAGUGAAUCGAAAUAGACCACUCAUGGCUUCACUAGACUUUAGAUUUAGUUUUGAGCAAGAAAAGAGAUGAACACAAGAACAACAAUGUUAGUGAAUUGAAAGAGCCCCAUACGGCUUCACUAAACUUCAAAGACCAACAACAAUACAAUGUUAACAAAAGAGAUGGAUAGAUAGUUUGACAUAUAAUAUUCAAGAAUCUAAGAACCCUAACAACAUGUAAGGACCCUAAGAUUAAUGAAUGUUAACACCAAACUCUUACGUUGACAAAAGAGGGACUUUACCUCCCUAAUCGCCAGCGUAUCAAGACAACGAUGCAACAUAAGUGAUAUCUAUAUUUGGGCAGCCCUAGUUACGGAUUGAUGGAUUUUCCAAGCCCUACAACUAAGGGGUGUUACACUCCACACACUAGAGAGAGAGUUUGUCUUCCAUCAAUAAACAACUAACGAAAAAAGACCUGAUAAGGAACUAUAUAUAGCCUAGCUUAUUACAUGGGAAAAUGACCAAGACACCCUUAAUGACAAAGGGUGUCCUUGGUGUGUUAGAAUACAAGAUGAAAUGGACAAAACACCCUUAAUGAGGUGUGGCCUUGGUGUGUAAAGGACUUCUCACAUUGAGUCCUAACACUCCAAAGGUGCCUUUUUCAAGCUCCAAAAACUGUGAGUCCUCAAGUCCUUAGUGCUUCAAACAACCUUCCACACCCGACAUUGCUCCAUCAAGUGCCUAUCACGGUCUCUGCAUGCAUGCUCUCGUGUCCUCGAGGCGACUAAUAAUUGAGCCUUUAUGUGUUGGUCUCCAAGGACGUCAUCAAAAACUAAAAGUGCCGUUUGCCUCGUAGCACACAUCCUCUAGGAUCGUCGCACAAUACCUAUAUACACCUACAAAGGCAAGCCUCUCAACACAGGAUCCAAGGGGAGUUCGUCAAUCCGUAUACAAUCCACAUAUUGUAUAUCUCCUUCCCAGCACAUCCCUCGAGGAGGAUUUUAUAAGGUGUUAUAAUAUCUUCUCUCCAACAUUUUCCUCGGGGAGGAUUUUAUAAAAGGUGUUGCCAGUGUUUCUCAAAUGUUGCCACAAUGGUACCAAUGUUUCAUGAAUGAGUAUGAUAUGAGGAUGUAAUGCCCAUAAACAAUCACAAUGAGUAUUUCUACUACCAAUCACAAUGAUAUAUUUCCAUAACGAACCAUAAUUAUGCAUUUCCACAACUACGUGAGCCAAUAUUCACUCAUUAUUUUCAUUUCAUUCAUUAAUUUUCACAUGUCUCAUAUAACAACAGGUAUGAAUAUCUCACAAUACACCAAUGAUUCCACAUUAGGCACUUCAACAACACAAAACAAUCAUUCAUAUAUAUUCAAGAUUAUCAACAUCAUGUAGGACCCCACGCAGUCACACAUAUCACAUAAUAUCUCAAUUUCAACAAUUAAAUUACAUAUAGGCUCCUACACAGGCACAAUACAAAAAUAGUAAUUUUUCAUGAUUAGUUCUCACCCUUAACAUGCAUUUUGUAUCAUUAUUAACUACCCAACCUAGUCUGAAAGAGUUAAGCCAUAACCUACCUCGAAUGCCGAAAUCGGUCCACUACACUUCGAAGUCGCGAACUUACUUUCCACAAACGAUCCCAAAUUUCACUAAAAAUAUCAAAUAUGAAAUCUAUGUGUCAAAACAAAACCAAUGAUAUCCAUAUUGACUAAUUUUGGUUCGAGGUCAAAACAGACCCCUAAAAUGGAUUUUUAAAAAAGAAGGGCAAAAUAGAAACUUUACUCAAAAAACAUAUUUAUCAUAUUUUUAGGAACCUAUAUCUAAAAAACCAAGUCAAAUCGAUUAAAAAAUAGGUUCAAAUCAAAGAAAAAUCAUUUUUGAGCUUUACCGGGUUAAAAUCAAGAAUCAGUGUUGUUUUGGAGGUUAAUUUGAUUAAAAACUAGUAAUUAUAAGAUUAAAAUAUUAUUCAAGUGAAAAGAGGUGAAAUUGGGGUUUAAAAUUAAGCCCUAAGAUUUUUGAGGUUUUGAGAAAUUAAUCAAGAAAUUACUAAGAAAAGGGUGAAUUCUUAUCUUAAAUCCGUAAGAGAAUCAAGAAAUAGAUGUUAAUCUAUCUUCCCAAGAUCCCAAAAGCUUCACUUUUAAGCUCUCACACUAUUUUAGAGUUUAACUCUCAAGAGUCAAGGUGAAAGAAUGGGCAAAAUGGACCAAAAAGGGGUAGUAAAAAACUGCUAUUUAUCGCAGAAAAAUCUACACUCUAAGUCCAAACAGACUUCGACAGGGUGACCGGGAUUUAUUUAGAGUCUGUUAUAUGUAAAAGAGCUAUGCAAUCAUACUAAAUUCGACACUCUGGACUCAAUGUCGAUAUCAAAUUUUCAAAAAAAUAUCGUUUUCACAAAGUUGACAUCCAAAACUCGAAAUUAUAAUUUUUUAAAUCAAAGAUCGAAAUAAGAUUUAAAAGCCAUAAAAUCACACCAAAUAUGUUACCACCCUAAAAUCGACAUUUAAGAUCUGCUAGCAAAGUCAAAUUUUUCAUCUGAGGUCGUUUUGACCAAAAGUGGGUUCCAUACUCAUAUUGUUAAUAUUUCAACUUUUCGAUCAGUAGAUUGAAAUGAGCUCAGGUGCACUGAGACCCAAACCAAAGGUCUAUCUAGACUAAACUCAAUAUUCUGGAGCUGCUAGUGCAGUCCGUUCAGUCAUUCGUUGCACGAAUCAAAAUAUUUUCAUAUAAAUUCAAAAUAAGGCUCUCGAAGCCAUCAAAAAUCAUAAUACCGCAUAAAUGGUACCAAAUGCAUCAGGAACCAUGCCAAUCAUCCCCACACUCCAGAAAUACCAUAAUGUAACUAUGAGAAGGGAUAAAACGGUUAAAUCACAUAGAAACACACACUUCCUAUAUUUCAUCAAAAAACUGAUCGUUACAUGUCUAUAUUUCAUCAAAAAACUGAUCGUUACAUUUUUAUUUCCUUUUAUUUAUUCAAUUAAGAAAAGUUAGUAAUAUAUACCUCUAUAAACAUUGCCUUUUUUUUUUCUACCAAAAUUGAUUUGUCAUUUUGGAGGUGUGUGAGGGAUUUUUAGAUCAUUUUCUCAGCUCAAGAAAAUUGCCUAUCUUUCUUCUACAUUUUUUUUUUUUUAAAUUCUCAUUAUUCUUUUAAAAUUUUGCUCUUUCUUAUUCAUUUAUUUUAUUUUGUUUAUAUACUAUAGAGGAUAUAAUUAUCAUAAUAUGCUCUUCAAUAGGUACUUUUGUAUUUUUUAUUUUUUUAUAAAAUUUUUACCUCCAUAACUCAUUAACUAUUAAAUUUUCACUCUUAAUAAUAUCAUUAACUUCAUGACUUUUAAGUUUUCAUAUUCAUAACCUCCAAUUAUUUAAUUAUAAAAUUUAAGAUAUCUUUUGAUAUUCCUUCAUUAUCAUCUACAUAAAGUCAUCAUUUUUUGUUUCAUGAUACCCAUAUUCAAGAGUAUCCUUUUUGUUUAUAUUUAAAAUAAUGUUCAUUAUAUUAUCAUUUAUAGUAUCAAAUUCAAGCUUAUGAAGAAGGCUUUUGGAGGUUGAUCAUUUGUCAGAAGAGCUAUCGAACAAGAGCUUAAAAAAUUGUACACUGAUUCAGUAAUUCUUUUUUAGUCUAUUUUUGAUGGUUAACGUCCAAAAAAAAUGUGUGUGUGACUGUGCAUGGGAAUGUUCUCUAUAUGUAAAAUCUAUAAUUUGAAAGUUCAUUAUUUUUUGAUUGUUGUAAAUUUUAUUUUCGUUUAAGCAAUAGCUAUUGUAAUUUUGUUGGUGCUAAUUACAAAACAUACUUCAAACAAUAUUAUUGAUGGCUUGAAAGAAACAAUUAUUAAUUACUGAAAUAAAUUAUUCUUUAUGUGUUUUUUACGAUACGAAAAAUAAUUUUUAUUUUCUUUAACGAUUUGCUUAUUUCUUUUACUUUAAUAGCAAAAAAGAAUUUGAUAGUCUAACUAUAAAUACUUGGGUUAAUCAUAUUUGUUUUAAUAAAUUAUAUUAUAAUACGUUUUUAAGAAUAUCUACAAUAUCUUCACGUAAUUCUUGAUUGCAGUUGAGAUGAUGAAGCAAUUAUAAUCUACCAUUGUCAUGUCAUGAGAUUUACAAUUAUAAUCUACCAUUGUCAUGUCAUGAGAUCUAAAGGCACAACUAAAAAAGAAUAUUAAACAUUUUUACUUAACAAAUAAUACACUACAAAAAAGACGCGUUUUAGCCAUGCGAAAAAUCGUGGCUAAAUAGUACACAAACCGUAGCUAAAUGUAUUUUGCCAUGAUUCCUUUGCCACGGUUGAAAGCGUGUCCAUAACGGGCGUGACAAUGAAAUUAGCCACGGUUUUGGCGUCAUUUGGAUAGCCACGGGUUUUGACAAAUCUAGCCACGGUUCCUUUGUGGGUAAAUUUGACAGGAAUAAAGAAAUAAAAUUUUAAUUUCUAAUUAACCACAUGAGAAACUGUGGCUAAUAUGUUCAAUUCACAUUAAAGAUGGCCAUGGUUCAAACCGUGGCAAAAGUAUACAUUUAAAAAAAAAAAAUCAAUAAUUUCCUAAUAUCAAUAGAGAACUAGUGAGCAUUUACCAACACACUGAACAUUAUACAUAAAUCAUUGCUAUAAUGAUCAUAGUUUCAUUACACAAUAUGCUUAAUCCUUUCCAUAUUAACAUAGCAUGAGUUGAAGUCGACGGAAAUUAGACCAUUGAUGGACAGACAAGUUAGAUCCUGCAUUAAAAGAGAAGGUUAUCCACAAUCUUUCUAAGAAAAUGACACAAAGAUUAGUUACAAAUGCAAGUUAUAGAAGAUGAAUCCAACAAGAGGAAAACUUAAACCAUCAAAAGAUGACAUAAAUCACUCCUCUACUUGGUUGAAAUUGCUUAUCAAAAUCUGAAUAGGAUAAAGUAGAGGAACAACAGAAUGGAGUGUGGAACUGCAUCAAACCUAAUUAAUUUAACUACAAAGGGCAUUAACAAGAAUACAUCUCAAUUAAAGUAUAAAUGAAAUUACCUGAUAUUCCUUGAGGAAGAGAGUGAUUUUAGUUCCUCUGCCUAAUUGCUCUCCAUUAACAUCCCUUGUAACAGUGAAUGAACCACCAACUUGUGAUUCCCAGCUAUAUUGCUUAUCAUUGUUGUGCUUGGUUGUUACGAUAACUUUCUCUGCUACGAGGUAAGCGGAAUAGAAACCCCCACCAAAUUGACCAAUCAUGCUCACAUCAGCCCCAGUUUGUAGAGCUUCCAUAAACUCCUUUAUCCCGGACCUCGCAAUUGUACCCAAAUUGUUAAGCGAAUCUACACAACAAACAACAUGUUUCACAUAUUCAGUCCUCAACAUUUGCUGAUAAUGUUGAGGACGGAAUAUGUGAAACAACAAACAAAAUGUAAAUUGAAAUAGUCAUGAGAAAAUGUUUUUCAAUAAUUCAAUAAAUAUAAUUAAAGGAACUCAAUAAAGGAUCACAUACCUCGACUAAAAAACUGCUUCUUUUUCUAACAAGCUUUCCAAAUAUUUUCUUUCCCUUUCUACAUGAAGAAUACUGGGACUUGAAAAGAAAGUAUUGGUCCAUUUAGUUUUGCAGGGCAGCCACCAGGGAGGCAUGAGUUCACUCACAUGUAACAAACAAGAAGGAAGUUUCGGUUGAAAAGAUAACAGAUUGAAUAAAUAGACAUAUAAAAGGGAAAUAAGAUCACAGAUUGAUUUGACCGACAUAUAUAAGGGAAUUACGUGAAUUCAGAUUUUUAUAUAAACCUCAACAAAAAAGAGACACGUCAACAAUAACUGAUAAGUGUAAUCAAACUGGAUGCAAAAGUUCCCUUGUAAAUAGAAGUUUGACAAUGCAAACCUGAUGUAACUCGUACCAGAUCAAGAUGGACUUCACAUACUGGAGCAGUUUUAAGUAAAUGGCCACUCGAGGGCAUUGAUGGAUGCAGCUUAGCAGUGGGCUUCACCAGUCGUCCUACUCCUACCAGCCUGGUCACUCUUCUUUUUCGACCUUCUCUGAUCUUUUUAACCAUUAACCAAUCCCACAAAUCAACAACCCGAAUAUGUGACAGAGAAUCAUCAACUGGUUGUUCAACUUGACCAUAUUGGGCUAGCCAGUUCUCUUCCUCCGAACAAAUGCCUGUUGUGAGGAAACUUCAGUCAAUCUUAUGCAUCCGAAACCGUAAAAAUGAAGAAAUUCAAACUAAGCGUAUAAUAUUUCAAAAAUUCCAAAAUCCUUGUUCUUUCCUUCCCUUUUCGCUGAGACAUAACUAGUCAGUCAAUCGACCGACCUCUAAAUCCUGAAAAUAGUUAGAGUACUUAGCUAUAUGAAUUCAAUAUCCAUUCAGCUCGUGCUCAUUUCAUUCUAAUAUUGCUAAAUUCGGGUUCUCCAAAACUAGAAUUUAUCUAAACUUUCACAUUAUCCCUAUUUCAUAAGUAAUCAACAAACUAAUUUAUUUUUAAUACAAUUUCUACUUAAUGAUAUCAAGUUACGACAUCUUUUAGGUAAGAAUAACAUUCAGUUGUUGAUUCGCUAGAAACAUGACAAUAAGAAGAAUUAAAGUUACAUGAUUCAUAAAUUUUUGGAACAAAAACAAAUAACGACACAAAUAUAGAUUUCCUUCAAGCUUUUCAAGGUCUCUAAUCAUGCAAUAAUGCUGAUCAGAAUGUAUACAAAUUAUAUAAAUUAUAUAUCAUUUUAGCCAUUACUAUUAGAGAGUCUACAUAAUUCACUCAUCACCGCGACCGUUUGUACAUUAUUCAAACCAAUGGUGAAUCAGAAGUAGGGUUUUCACCUAACUAAACACAUAGCACAGCAAGACAUUGCAACUUAAGUUGCAUCCUAGCAUUCAACUCUAUGCAUUUUCCAUUUCUAGAUCCAAUCCACCCCCUCCCCCAAAAAGAUGCUGACCAAAACCAAGGAUAAGUUGUCAAGGACUGAAUUAUGUGAAACUUACAUCAGAUGGGGUACUGAUCUUAGGAGACCGCCGUUCCACAGAAGGCUUGGAAGUAACAGAUCUUGGAGAUUUCUCAACUGGAAUGCGUGAAUUCUGCAAUGACGAGGUCGAAUCAGCAUCAGAUUUUGAUAGUCUCCUGCUCAAUUUACUCACUCGGUCCCGAGGAGUUGCUGGUAUUGACUUGUUAGGAUUUCCCCCCAGAGUGGAUCUGAUAUACAUGUUCAAAUAAGCAACACUUAGGUAGUUCCCAAACUACAAUAAAAUUGGAGAUGUCAUAAAGUUAGAAAUAAAAAAUAAAGAUUCGUUACCAUUUUAUAGUAAAGGUAGGAUAUAUUGAGGAAGGAAAAGAAAAUUAAAUAAAUACUAUAAUAGAGGAUAAAGACAAAAUUAGAAACAGAAAAUUAUUUAGAUGAUGAUGAAAAGUUUUAUUAAAAAAAGGAUAAAUAUGAACUAUGAAAGGAUAGAAUGUCAAAAAAGAUAUAGAAUUGAAGAGCUAUCCGAAUAAAAGUUUACCGUUUGAUGAAAGCAAGAAGUAAAUUAAAUCCUUAAAUACAUAUGUUUAAAUUGUAUUAAAUUAAAAAAAUUGUGUAUUUGCCUCUUGAUAUAAGAAACUUUUUCUUACUAACUAAUUCUUAUUUUCUUACAAAAUUUAAAAUCGUAAAAUUUAAGGACAAAUAAUAAAUUAGAACAAGAGCUUAUUUUUAAAAAUUAUUUUGUUAAUUUAAUGAGGUAUUUUAUAAUUGUGCGAAGCGCGGUCACUUUCUCUAGUUAAAUACUAAAUUCAAAGUAACUAAGUGUUAUGAGAAAAUUAAAGGAAAGGUGUUAUUUAAGUCUUAAAUGAAGGAUUGGUGACAUUGAUCAACUUAAAGGGUCAAACAUAAUUAGAAAACUUUAUUAAAUUAAUUAUGGAUUUGAUUAAUAAUUUUAAAACUUUCUAAUCUUUUCAAAAAUACAAAACAACCCACACCCCUCCCCUCUCCAAAUCAACUAUCUCUUCUCUCUCUCUUUCUCUUGACAGUUUCUACCAACCAAUAGUUCUGUAAAUUUCUCCUUUCAAUCCCCGACGACUCCAAACUUCGGCGACAAAUGGUUGGUCUUUGAGUUCCUUUUCGACUUUCAACAAUCAAUUGGCGUGACAACCUUGCUCUCCGGCCACAACAACUUCGAGUUCAUCAUCGUCUCUUGUCUUCUUCCACAGGUAAAAAAUUAUGGCCUCUUUUGUUUUGAAGAAAAAGAGGAACUUGAGCCAACUUCUCUUCUAGUAUUGGUGAACAAUUUCAAUAUUUGUUUCUUUAAUUUGGAAUGUUGUCUGAAUAAAAUCCUAAUUUCUUGUAUUUCUUCUCUUCUCUUUUUGGAGUGAAAUAUGAUUUUUUGUUUUUGUUGCAUUUUUUGAAGUUUGAUUUUUAUUGUUUGUGCUUAUGCAAACAAAAUAACGAUGUUGGUGUUUUUGGUGUUGCACCCGUUGCUGGGUUGAUUUGUUCUUGUUCUCGAUAAAAAUGGUGAUAUUGCAGUUGUUCUAUCGAACAAAAUCAUGCUACUAUUUUUUGGCAACAUAUUAACCUUCUGAUGCAAUAGAUUAACCAUUCGAUGCAACAGAUUAACUAUCUGAUGCAACAGAUUUACCGUAUGAUGCAAUAAAGGAACCAUUGGAUAAAAAAUCUGAUGCAACAAAUUAACCAUCGGAUAAAAAGUCUGAUGGAACAAAUUAACCAUAGGAUAAAAAAAUUGAUGCAGCAGAUUAACCAUGAUGCAAUGGAGGAGCCAUCAAAAUAAAAAUCUAAUACAACUAAUUAAUUAUCUGAUGCAACAGAUGAACCUUUUGUUGGAUAAAAUCCUAUCAACUAUUCCAACAGGACAUGUCCAAGACUUGAUUUUGUCCAACUGAUCAUUUAUCUGUCACGAUAUACAACCCUUCUGUUAGAAUAAAUAUAAAUAAUAUUAACCGUUGAUAACUUGUUACAUCCUAGGGUUUGUACCCUUGAAAAUUUCCAAAGUUUGGACCCAUUUUUACUUGGUACGACUCAAGGGAGUUACUCAUACCCAUGGUUAUGAGUCGUAGGGUGCUUAGGUGGUCAAAUUGUACCUAAGGCAGUAAGGAUGGCUUAGCUACUGCCCAAGGUACGACUCAUAUGGGUAAGAGUCAUAUGGAAGCUUAUGAAUGGUAUAUGACAAGUUGUACUGUGCAUGUUUAAGUUGUCUAGUGUAAUCUGUCCACCAUACGGUUGGUGGAUGCGAUUGAAGUUACCACUCAUACCCUUACAUAUGCGUUAGGGAGGUUAAUUCAUAUAGAAACCACUAGGUAAGGUCUUGUCGAGGUUGUAUACGAGUUAGGGUACGAGUUAGGGUAUCACUUGUACCCUUGGAUACAAAUAGUUAGGUGAGUCAUACCCCUGGAUGAGAAUUGUUUUAAUUUUUAAGUCAAGGGUAGUUUGGACAUUUCCUACUCCUAAACCCUUAUGUCCUCACGUUAUAUAACCCUCUACGGCCUUCCAUAACACUUAUAAAAGGAUCAUAAUAUAUUAAAUACUCUUUCAAACUCAUUAUUGGAAGAUUGGAGGCUAGGGUUUCUCAUGUGUUCUUCAAAGUGGCUCAAGAGUCAUGUUUCUCUUUGGAAUCUUCUUGUAUAAGGCAUGUAAUCUUUCCCUCAUUGUUAUUUCAAAAUAAAGGCAUGUGUAUUGUGUUAUAAACAUUGGUUUAUGAAUCUAUAAUUGUGGAUUUCAAAAUAUUGUUGAGGGUUUUGAAACAUAUGGUUUGGUAAUAGUUUAAGCUAUGUUUUUACAUAUUUUUGGUAAUAGUUUGCAUAUGUGGUUGGUUGUUGGUUAUCGUAUAACUAAUGGAUCUUGAUUAACCCUAAUUAUGGUGAUUUACACAUUGGUUUUGGUCUUGGUAAAGGUAUGCGCUCAACAUGUUUGAUAAAAUAUCUCAAAGAACGUUUUCACUCUAUUGUUGAACCUUAAUUGGAACUCUUGCAUGGUUUGAUUUUGUAACGAAACUCUAAAUGGUUUUGGAUGGUUUUGCAUGGUAUAAUGGUUUAAAUGAUAUAAAUGCUUUAAAUGUUUGGCAUGGUCUUAAAUGGUUUGGAAUGGUUUAAAAAGGUAAAGGUUUUGGUGGUCAUGGUUAGUCUAUUUUGAAAACCUUGUGGGAUACAUGGAAGUCCCCCAAGUGAAUGCAUUAAUGGAAUUGGUUUGAAUAAUUGGUCAUGGAUUAAUUGGUUAUGCUUGUGGAGAAAAUGGAUGUCUCCCAAGAGGUUAAUAUGGUAAAUAGAAAGGGCAUUUGAGAGUCUCCUUAACCUAAAUGUUUUGGCUUUGGAUAAAUCUUGCAAGUAUGGUUGACAUGACGAUACCACUAAUAAUCGACCUUGGUUAAUAAAUGGUAAUAGGAUUGUUUGGACAUGGUUUUUAAUUUACGCAUUAAUGGCGAGAUGUGUAACUAAGUCGUGGAAGGUGGAGAUUUUGGGGAAAAAAAAACUAGAAACUCAUAUUUGCCGAUAUGAGGGGUCUUCUAUGGCUACGUGCGAGUGUCAUAUUUUAUAUGAGAGGGAUGUACUAGUCAUUCCAUGUGAUAUUUCCUGGUCACACGGCUACACGCAUGGGACUCUUUCAAUAAGGAGAGCUGAACCCAUAUGACCCAUGGGCGUAGUUAAGCGGCAAGGUUACACAACCCAGGUAAAAGAUUUUAAAUGCAUGCUAAACACAGAUUCCCUUUUCUGACACUUAUAUAUAUGUAUGGCUGUGUCCAUUAUGGAUGGUUUUACUUGAUUUUGUAAAUGACAUUAUUUUAUCCCUAUCCUGAGUGCAUGCUAGUGUUCACCCACUACCCCUUCUAUUGGCGGCUAUAUACCCACGCUAUGUAGAAAUCGACCAUUCUACUCCUCUUUCUUAGUGAUCGAAUUUGGGUACAGUCGAUGUUGGAUUUAAGUGGCGAGCUUCCAUAGUUCGGAAGGCAUCUAUUUUAUGUCAUGGUUUACUUUACACAUUUCUUGUACUUCAUAAGCUUCGGUAUUUGGCUAUGGUCGAGGUAUGUCCCAACUAAGUAUUCUUUGAUUGGUCUAGAGGCUUUGUAUGGACAACUAUUGACUUGGGUAUGGUAUGGACUAUUUUUGUUAUAAACAUAUACAUUGGCUUAUUAUCAUGGUAUUAAUUUAUGGCUUCCGCAUUGGUUUGGUUGGUUAUUGGGUGGACAAACUUGGUUGGGUUGGUCUUGAUUAUAGACUUAUACCAGAUUCACCACAUGGAUAAAUAUGCUAUAUUGUUAUUUGUUCGGAAUUCAAUCUAUUAAAGGUAUGCAUUUGGUGGGUGGGUUGGGUAAUAGAGGGAGUUCCCAGCCCUUGUUGGUGACACGGGCAUGAUCAUGAAGACGGAUGUUUUUUUAGUGUUAUGAAUGCAACCUAUGGAGUGUACGAGUUGAAGUGUGAAAAGGGCUCCAAAACCUCCCUUAUAGUGCACUCCAUAGGCGCCAUUUUAUCCAUUUAACACUAAGGGGCACUUUUGUCAUUUUAUCUAUUAUUUGUAUUAGCCUAUAUAAGGAAAAUAUUAGGGUUUUAGAUCAUUAGUUAUUGAAUGUUGAUGUAAGAACACAAAGAACAUCUCUCUUGAGAGAGAGAGCCUCCCUAGGCCGAAACUAGGACAUAAGCAAGUGUGGAAUCACUUGUGAAUGUGUAUUUCUUUGAAACGUUGGUUCUUGAGAGGUGAAUUUUGAUAUUGUGUCUUCGUAAGGGUAUGGUGUUGCUAUUGUAAGUCCUAGGGGUCCUUAGAUUUAAUAUAUCUUUGGGUUCCUAAUCUUGUAAUAGUGUAUGUCUCACUUUCUAUCUUUACGUUUCAUGUCUUAGUUUGUAUUGUCUAGUGAACCCGCUGGUUUUUGUUAUGUCUUGUAAUCUUGUAAUGUUGUAUUGUUGUUAUCCUAGUGUUGUUCUUCUUAUUAUAAUGUUGUUUAUCCCUCAUUGUUGUUAGUCAUUUACACCUUAUUUCUUCUUGUUGUUGGAGCUGAGAAUUGUUUUUGUGUUGCUCUCGAGUUUUCCUUUGUUUGUGGACUGUUUUUGACUUAUUUUUUUAUAUGAUCCAAGUUUGUAUCGUAUCAGUUGGGCUUGGGAUUACCCAUUAAGUCUAGGCUCUAGUUCAAGCUAUGAAAAAUUGGUAUAAGAGCAUUAGGUUUCAGUGUCAUAGGGUGUCCACAAAGCAAUGUCAAUUAGAUUCUUGCUUAUGGGUGUGUCGUGCACCACACUUAUAAUUAGGAGGCUACGAGACAUUUAAGAAUGUUUCACUUUCCUAGUUAUUCUACUUUCAGGCUAUGGAGUCUAAGGUCUUGAACUCUUCUCUAAAUCUUCCUUGGUUCACUCUUAGGACUGUGUCUUCUAAAAGAUCCAAAGGUUUUUGGAAACUCACCUAUCCCACUCAAUGACAAAAAGGAUGGAUUUAGUCUAACUCAUGCGGCAUAGACCUGGUCAAGGGCAGCUUCUAAAAGAUCAUGGAGCUUGCAUGUAUAUUUGUCCCUAUACUUGUACUUCAUUGCUGGCAUGAAAUUGAUUUCUAAAUUCAUGGUUUUGAAAAAGGGUUUAUACAUAAUUGAGGAUUUUAACAUGAUUACUUAUUUAUCUUGUUUUUCAUGGAUUAUGAUGCCUUAUUUAUGUGUUAUUAGUGUUUAUAAACAUCAUGGGGUGCAUGGGAAUGGUAAAUGAAUUUCGGGGUACUAUGGAUUCCCUAAAUUACUUGGUUUUAGCUUUGGAAACUAAAUGUCCUCAAAUUAAUUAUGAAAUUGCCAUUUUAUAUAAUUUUGUCAUAUGGUUUGACUAUUCUUAAAUCUUUGUGUUGCAUAAAUGGUUAAGGGAACAUGAAUUGGUUUUGAUUGGAUUCAAAUGAAUUUAAAAAGGCCUUGGUAGCUGUGGUUUAAUUUUGAAUGGUUUUGUUUUAAUUGGAAAACUUGGAAUCAAUUUGGUCUAAUGGUUUUAACAUAUCUUUGCUAGGCUCUAGGUAGCCUUUGGGAGUAUAAGAUUUAGGUAUGGGAAAAAUAAGUGUCACUAGUGUACAUCCUUGGUGAUACCCAUAAAGGUGGAGUGUUGUGCUUGUUGGUGUAAUGGGAUGAAGGUUGGAGGUUAGUCUUGAACUUUCUCCAAGCAGUUGACUUUAAGAGAAGGCCGGGUUGCAUAUUCUAGUGAUUCUCUUCUAUCUUGAUUAAAAAGAGCACCGUAUAGUAUUGCAUGUAUUGUCAUAGAAAUUGUGCUUAAGGGUUACAGUUUGUUUUUGCCUUGUUCCCCGUAUAUGAGUCUUGACUCUACAUUGCAUUACUCAUGGUAUAGGUGGUUGAGUUUCCUUCAGUGUCAAUUUCAAAGGACUUUUUUUUAGUGGAAUGGUUUGGUCAGGAUGGCUCUUCAUUAGGGUCUAAGUGGUUGCUAUGAAGAACUUCAUGCCUUUUGUGUCGUGUCUUAUUUUGGGAAGUCCUUGUCUUGACUUAGGCUACAUGGAUAAUUCUUAUACCUUAGUUCCUUAAUGAAGAUUCUUAUGAUUAGGAUGGUAGUGGUUUGGAAGGCAUAAUGGUGUUUCAUAAUGGGGAAUGUAGAAGUCCCUAAGUGGAGGAGAGUCUUGGGUAACUACUAGAGUUAAGGUUUUAGAAGAAGAGGUAAAGUUGUUGUCAUGAUAAAUUGUUAGGAAAGGAAUAGGUGGUGAAAAUCCAUUGUUAAAUAUUAAUUGGUGUUAUAUCUUUUGAUGGAUAGGUCAUACCGCGGGUAUGUAAGCGAUAGGCUUGAAUGUUGUGAUUGGUAGGUAUACCCAUAGUUGUGUUGGGUGCUCGAGAGGCUUGGUAAGGCAUGGAUUUGAUGAAUGGUCUUCCUUGCAUAGUGGUUUCAUAGCUUUCAUAGGUUGGGGAUUUUGGUUACAAUGGUUAGAUAUAGUUUGUCGUUUACUCAUAGUUUUUGUAUUAUAAAGGAGAUGGAAGUAGAGUAGUGUUUCGAGAUACGUGUAAGGGGUAGAGGACGGUGGCUUAAGUCAACUUAUUUUAGCUUUGGAUAUGCUUGAACAUGGAAUUGGUGGUGUAUAGUUAGACUCAAGCUCUUAUAGUGAGGUAUCUCGGUAAAAUUCUAAGUCAGAGUCUAUUUGCUCUUGAGCACAAAUUCCAUUCAUUUGGUAUUUUAUGUGUUUGUGUUGGGGUAAGGGGUGGUUGGUUCCUUGGGUGGUAUAUCUCGAAUUCCUUGUUCUUUCAAGAGGAUCUUGGAUUGGUAAGUUUGUCGGAUGCAAACAAUAGGUAUGGCUUAGGUAGAGGUUCCAAGGUGGAACUAAAAGUCCGAUAAAGCCAAUUGGGAUGCGGAAGUGGACAUGGAGUCCAAGGAUCUGCGCUGGUUUUUUUGUUCCAGAAAUUCGUGUGUAAGGUGUGUGUUCUUCUAACACAUCUUUGUUUUCUAACUUAGUUAAAGGUGAGGAAUGGUUCCUCUUGUAUCUUUGUUUUCUAACUUAGUUAGAGGUCGAAAUGAAAGUAUUGAGGUAUAAAUCGUGCUUGGGGUAUGUGGUAAUCUUCUCGGCUUGGUCUGUCUCCUUGUCCUCAAUUUUGGAUGGAGGAAGGUUGAUGUGUAUUAAGGUGUUAUCUCAUUCUUGUUCUUACAUUUACCCGUUAUUCGAGGACGGAUGUUCCUAGUGGGGGAGAAUGUUACAUCCUAGGAUUUGGACCCUUGAAAAUUUCCAAAGUUUGGACCCUUUUUUACUUGGUACGACUCAAGGGAGUCUCUCGUACCCUUGGUUACGAGUCGUAGGGUGCCUAGGUGGUCCAAUCGUACCCUAGGCAGUAAGGAUGGCUUAGCUACUACCCAAGGUAUGACUCAUAUGGGUAAGAGUCGUAUGGGAGCUUACACGUGGUUUAGGGCAAGUUGUAUGGUGCAUGUUUGAGUUGUCUAGUGUAAUCUGUCUACCAUACGGUUGGUGGAUACGAUUGAGGUUACAACAUGUACCCUUAGGUACGAUUGAGGGAGGUUGUCAUAUAGAAACCAUUAGGUAAGGUCUUGGAAAGAUUGGAUAUGAGUUGGGGUGUCACUUGUACCCUUUGAUACAAAUGGUAAGGUGAGUCGUACCCUGAACGAGAAUUGUUUUAAUUCUUAAGUAAAGGGUCGUUUGGACAUUUCCUACUUCUAAACCCUUAUGUACUCACGUUAUAAAACCCUAUAUGGCCUUCCAUAACACGUAUAAAAGGAUCAUUACAUAUCAAAUACUUUUUUAAACUUACUCUUGGAAUAUUGGAGGCUGGGGUUUCUCAUGUGUUCUUCAAUGGGGCUCAAGAGUCAUGUUUCUCUUCGGAAUCUUCUUGUUUAAGUCUUGUUCUCCUUUCCUCAUUCUUAUUUCAAAAUAAAGUCAUGUGUAUUGUGUUUUAAACAUUGGUUUAUGAAUCUAUAAUUGUGGAUUUCAAAAUAUUGUUGAGGGUUUUGAUGCAUAUGGUUUUGUAUUGGUUUAAACUAUGUUUUUACAUGUUUUUGGUAAUAGUAUGCAUAUGUGGUUGGUUGUUGGUUAUGGUAUAACUAACAGGUUUUGAGUAACCCUAAUUAUGGUGAUUUACUCAUUGGUUUUGGUCUCGGUAAAGGUAUGCCCUCAACAUGUUUGAUAAAAUGCCUUAAAGAACAUUUUCACUCUACUGUUGAACUUUCAAUGGAACUUCUAUAUAGUUUCAUUUUGUAACGGAACUCUAAAUGGUUUUGGAUGGUUUAAAUGAUAUAAAUACUUUAAAUGUUUUGCAUGGUCUUAAACGGUUUGGAAUGGUUUAAAAAGGUAAAGGUUUUGGUGGUCAUGGUUGGUCUAUUUUUAAAACCUUGCACGAUACAUGGAAGUCCACCAAGUGAAUGCCUUAAUGGAGUUGGUUUGAAUAAUUGGUCAUGGCUCAAUUGGUUAUGAUUGUGGAGAACAUGGAAGUCUCCUAGGAGGUUAAUAUGGUAAACCGAAAGGGCACUUGAGAGUCCUGUUAACCUAAAUGGUUUGGCUAUGGAUAACUCUUGCAAGUAUAGUUGGUAUGACGAUACCACUAAAAAUUGAUCUUGGUUAAUAAAUGGUAAUUGAAUUGUUUGGACAUGGAUUUUAAUUUGGGUAUUAAUGGCGAGAUGUGUAACUCAGCCGUGGAAGGUGGAGGUUCGGGGGAAACAAAACUAGAAACUCAUAUUUGCCGAUAUGAGAGGUCUUUGAUGGCCAUGUGUGGGUGUCACAUUUUUAUUGGAGGGAUGUACUAGUCAUCCCAUUGGAUAUUUCUUGGUCGUUCGGUUACACGCACUGGGACUCUUUCAGCAGGGAGAGUUGAACCCAUACAACCCAUGGGUGUGGUUAAACGGCAAGGUUACACAGCCUAGGUAAAAGGUUUUAAAUGCAUGCUAAACACGAAUUCCCUUUCCCGACACUUAUAUAUAUGUAUGGUGUUGUGCAUUAUGGAUGGUUUUACUUGAUUAUUUAAAUGACAUUAUUUUAUUCCUAUCCCGAGUGCAUGCUAGUGUUCACCCACUAACCCAUCUACUGGCAGUUGUAUACUCAUGCUAUGUAGGAACCAACCAUUCUACUCCUCUUGCUUAGUGGUCGGAUUCGGGUCUAGUCAAUGUUGGAUUGAAGUGGUAAGCUUCCAUAGUUUGGAAGCCAUCUAUUUCAUGUCAUGGUUUACUUUACAUAUUUCUUAUCCUUCAUAAACUUCGGUCUUUGGCUAUGGUCGGGGGCAUGUCCUGACUAGGUACUCUUUGGUUGGUCUAGAGGCUUUGUAUGGACAACUGUGGACUUAGGUAUGGUUUGGACUAUUUUUGUUAUAAAUAUAUACAUUGGCUUAUUAUCAUGGUAUUAGUUUAUUGCUUUCGUAUUGGUUUGGUUGGUUAUUGGGUGGACAGACUUGGUUGGGUUGGUCUCGGUUGUAGACUUAUCCUAGAGUCACCACAUGGAUAAAUGAGCUAUCUUUUUAUCUAUUUGGAUUUCAACCGACUAAAGGUAUGUGUUCGAUGGUUGGGUUGGGUAACGGGGGCGGUUCCCGGGGUCCUUGUUGGGCUUGGGAUUGCCUAUUACGUCUAGGACCUAAUUUCGGCUGUGAUACACACAUGUUGCAAUAGAUGUGUGAUCUGUUGCAUAGACCAGACAUCUGUUUCAAUAGAUGAGUGAUCUGUUUUUUUGUUGCAACAAAUUUCUCAUUCAUUGUAACAGGUUAGUUAUAUGUUGGCAUAAAUACCUCAUAUGUUGCAAUAGGUUUGUGGUCUAUUGCAUAGACCAUUCAUUUGUUUCAAUAGAUGAGUGAUCUAUUUUUAUUGUUGCAACAGAAUACUCAUCCGUUGCAACAGUUUAGUUAAAUGUUGCAACAGAUAACCUACCCGGUGUAACAGAUAUGUGAUCUGUUGGAACUGUUAUUUUACUAUUGUACAUGUUAGCUAUACUUUUAUCCCCUUUUAAGGAUGCAUUAAUUAAUUAUAAUCUAUUUUAUGUUCCUGUUAAUUUUAAAUAAUAUGGCUCCCAAAAGAAAAUAAACCAAAUCAAAUCCAAGUAAAGGAACAAGUGAAGCAGCUAGGCUACAUCCAUCACUCUAUGAGCUUGCUUUACAAGCAUUAUCUCAAUCAGAAGCAGAAGAUGAUGAACAUAGGGAGGAGGAAUUUUUCAAAAGAGAUGAUCCAAAUGCUAAUAGCCCUUCUAUCGAAGAGUUGGUCAAAACCUGUAUCAUUGGUAGUUAUCCUGUGAGAAUACAAUGCAUGGGUUAUUACAUUGUUAAUUCAUCCAUGGGAAAAUAUUUUGACGCCUUUAGAAAAAUACUUCGAAAACAAAAUUUAGAUGCUUAUUUCAGGGUCAACUGCUUUCGGCAAUAUCUUGAUUUGAUGGAGGAAAACAAUGCUCGUUUCCAAAUGAAAAUGGUAUAUGAUCUUCUCAAGCAUAGGUUUAUGUAUGAAAACAAACAUAAAAUGGAUGAGGUGUGGAUAAAUUAUUGUGGCAUGUCUAUUUGUUUUAGUUGGAAGGAGUUUUUCAUAGUUAAUGGACUAAAAUGUUAUCCUGCUUCUCCUUCUCAAGUUAUACCUAUUCUAACCCAAAAUAAGCACCCCGCACACCCCAAAAAAGAAAAUGCAGUUCAAGUGAUCAUGGAGACUUGAUGUCCCUUGUUGGUCCAAGCUUCAAAAAUAAAAAUUUGAUAGAAGCGUUGAAAGGUAAAAUACUUUCAAAGAAGCACAAACAAUCAUUGUGCUUGGUUUGUUUUGUACAUAAUAUUAUUUGGGAAAAGACGUUAACAACAAUAUACCACUUGGUUUAAUACAACUCUCCGAGGAUCUUGAGGCAUUUAACAACUAUCCUUGUGGUUUUGAACGCUUCAAAAUGACUGUCAAAUAUUUGUUGACUCUGUUAGCACCAAAGACAAUCAACUUAUAUGGCUUUCCAUGGGAUUUAAUGGUAAAUAUUUCUUUUAUUAUGAUAUGAUUCAUUUUCUUAUUCAAUAAAGUUUUUGAUUUAUUGGCGUUAUUUUUAUAGACUUGGGCAUUUGAAGCCAUUCCUUAUUUGAGACAAUAAAUAAACUACCUGGAAAAAGUUUCGUCCAAGAAUCUUGAGAUGGUUGUCGGUCAAAAGUGAUAGAAAUGCAAAAUUUCUUGAUAUCUAACCCCCCCGAAGGAUGUAGUAAGUCUAAUUCUAAUUAAGUUUUUGUUUUAAUUAAUGAUUUUUUAAAUAAUCUAAUCAUCAUUCUAAUAUAUGUACUAAUUUAUGUUAGAUUGUGCAUCCGUUGCUUGGUCCG
rnacentral:lncRNA from 1 species